CGGUACGUACUGGCAUUGUUGGUUUCUCCCUUCUGACGAACCAUGAUGUCAUUUAUUUGGUGUUGUGGGGAAUCAGGACUGUUACUUUGAAAAAAUUAGAGUGUUUAAAGCAGGCUCACGCUUGAAUACAUUAGCAUGGAAUAAUGAAAUAAGACGUUUGAUUCUAUUUUGUUGGUUUCUAGGAUCGACGUAAUGAUUAAUAGGGAUAGUUGGGGGCAUUAGUAUUCAAUUGUCAGAGGUGAAAUUCUUGGAUUUAUUGAAGACUAACUACUGCGAAAGCAUUUGCCAAGGAUGUUUUCAUUAAUCAAGAACGAAAGUUAGGGGAUCGAAGACGAUCAGAUACCGUCGUAGUCUUAACCAUAAACUAUGCCGACUAGGGAUCGGAUGAUGUUAAUUUUUUAAUGACUCAUUCGGCGCCUUACG
rnacentral:rRNA from 1 species